AUUGAACGCUGGCGGCAGGCUUAACACAUGCAAGUCGAGCGGAGAUGAGGUGCUUGCACCUUAUCUUAGCGGCGGACGGGUGAGUAAUGCUUAGGAAUCUGCCUAUUAGUGGGGGACAACAUUCCGAAAGGAAUGCUAAUACCGCAUACGUCCUACGGGAGGAAGCAGGGGAUCUUCGGACCUUGCGCUAAUAGAUGAGCCUAAGUCGGAUUAGCUAGUUGGUGGGGUAAAGGCCUACCAAGGCGACGAUCUGUAGCGGGUCUGAGAGGAUGAUCCGACACACUGGGACUGAGACACGGCCCAGACUCCUACGGGAGGCAGCAGUGGGGAAUAUUGGACAAUGGGGGGAACCCUGAUCCAGCCAUGCCGCGUGUGUGAAGAAGGCCUUAUGGUUGUAAAGCACUUUAAGCGAGGAGGAGGCUACUGAGACUAAUACUCUUGGAUAGUGGACGUUACUCGCAGAAUAAGCACCGGCUAACUCUGUGCCAGCCGCCGCUGUAAUAC
rnacentral:rRNA from 1 species